AUUGAACGCUGGCGGCAUGCCUUACACAUGCAAGUCGAACGGCAGCACGGGGCAACCUGGUGGCGAGUGGCGAACGGGUGAGUAAUGCAUCGGAACGUGCCAUUGAGUGGGGGAUAACGUAGCGAAAGUUGCGCUAAUACCGCAUAUUCUGUGAGCAGGAAAGCAGGGGGACCGCAAGGCCUUGCGCUCUUUGAGCGGCCGAUGUCAGAUUAGCUAGUUGGUGAGGUAAAGGCUUACCAAGGCGACGAUCUGUAGCGGGUCUGAGAGGAUGAUCCGCCACACUGGAACUGAGACACGGUCCAGACUCCUACGGGAGGCAGCAGUGGGGAAUUUUGGACAAUGGGCGCAAGCCUGAUCCAGCCAUGCCGCGUGAGUGAAGAAGGCCU
rnacentral:rRNA from 1 species